rnacentral:rRNA from 1 species
CCUACGGGAGGCAGCAGUGAGGAAUAUUGGUCAAUGGGCGCGAGCCUGAACCAGCCAAGCAGCGUGAAGGAUGACUGUCCUACGGGUUGUAAACUUCUUUUAUAAAGGAAUAAAGUGAGGCACGUGUGCCUUAUUGUAUGUACUUUAUGAAUAAGGAUCGGCUAACUCCGUGCCAGCAGCCGCGGUAAUACGGAGGAUCCGAGCGUUAUCCGGAUUUAUUGGGUUUAAAGGGUGCGUAGGUGGGCUGUUAAGUCAGCUGUGAAAGGUUGCGGCUCAACCGUAAAAUUGCAAUUGAUACUGGCAGCCUUGAGUAGAGUUGAGGUAGGCGGAAUUCGUGGUGUAGCGGUGAAAUGCUUAGAUAUCGCGAAGAACUCCGAUUGCGAAGGCAGCUUACU